rnacentral:lncRNA from 1 species
CCCCAUGGUUCCGCCCAACCACUUCCAGUUGAUCCUAUUGAGAGACUUCCAGCUGCGGCUUUUGUGCUGAUAACAUUGCAACUGUAUAGACUGAUAACAGCUAGUAUUCCAUUACAAAAGUACAAUAGUGUUGCAACAGAAACCAUCCAGAAAGAAAUAAAAAAAUAUCUGUUUAAGUCUUGUAUUAUGUCCAAUUCCGAUAUCGUAUCGAUUGUCAGCUCAUCGAAGGUUUGUAUUGCGACACCAAACGUUACCAAGCAUACAAUUAAAGCAGAACC